GGCGCUGUGGUCAAGUGGUAAGACGGUUGGUUGCAACCCAUCAGUCCUCGGUUCGAUUCCGAGCAGCGCCUCCA
rnacentral:tRNA from 1 species